rnacentral:lncRNA from 1 species
UGGUAUGUAAUUAAUUCUGAAACUUUGAUGGUUUUCACAUUACUCACUGCCUUCUCCUUGGCAAUUCACCUGCUUUCUACUUUCUUUCUCUCAGAUCUAUUUACAUCGGGGUUGGGGUGGGGUGGGGGACUUCUCACUCACAUCUUAAUUCCAUUUGCUUUUUAAAAGGUUUUGUGGUUCUUUGGAAGAAGAGAAUGUUAUCUGCUGUCGUAGAGCCUAACUGCCGGCUCCUUUGUCAUUUUGCCUGUGCUUCCUGGGCUACAUCCCCCAUCCUUGGGAUGCAGCCCCUGGCAACCACCAAUCUGAUGUCUGUCUCUAUGGAUUACCCUCCUCUGGACUUUUCACAAGAGCACAGGAAUUGCACUGGCCCAGCUUCGACACUGCUUUGCAGCAGGAAGAAGGGGUCUAGAGCGGAAUCUGGUGACAAAGCAGCCCUGGGUCAUUUGGCUGGCGGCUCACACACCCCCAGGAGCACCUCCAAGGGACUCAGUACUCUCCAGUGCUAA